CUAGAGCAGCUCCACAUCCAAUCUUCAUCUCCACGAGCAUCAACUAUCCAGACCGUAUCGACACUUACAAAUCUUCAACACGAGCAGACGCUUAGAAACCCUAACCUUCUUCAUUCACACAAUUAGGUCAAACAAAAUUCAAAACAACACCUAACUUCUGGUAUAGCGAUCAUGAGUGACGAUUCCGUUAUGAAUCCAGAGCUCGUAAUCAAUCACAAAUUUCUUGCUUGAAAUCAGCCAAUCAAUACAAGCUCCAGCGAGACGCUUCGGAAGCGGAUCGGAAUUGGACGAUUCAUCCACUGCUCUGUUGAAGGACAACAAACCUAGAUGUUUUAUUAUUUGAAUAAGGUAAAGUUUUACCUUAUUAGGGUUCAAUUUCUGGUGGAUUCGGAGGAGUAGGGUUAAUGUAGCAUUCGCCAUCCUAAAAAAAGAAGUUGUUUAGAAAUUAGAAUCGACUCGUGUGAGCGGUGUUCUGACUUCUAGAUUUGGAUUUGGACUGUGAAGGACGACAUAUGAUUUAAACUUCAAGGAAGAGAACAACAACAAGUGACAAGUCUCAAAAGAUUUCAGGAGUACAACUCAAAGAUCUUUACAAAUCAUUUGUGAGCGAGUAUCCUAUCGUGUCGAUUGAAGACCCGUUUGACCAAGAUGACUGGGAACACUACGGAAAAAUGACAGCAGAAUGCGGUGACAAAGUGCAGAUUGUUGGUGAUGAUCUGUUGGUCACUAAUCCAACGAGAGUUCAAAAGGCGAUUAGUGAGAAGACAUGUAACAUGCUUCUCCUCAAGGUAUAUCGUCAAUUAUUUAGCUGUUAACGGAUUGAUUUGGGUUAUGUUUGAUCUUUAACGUGUCAAACCGGUUAAAUUAAAUAUUACUCUUAAAAGGAAACACGUCAAAUUGAUUAAAUUAAACCCGAGGCGAAAGAAA